rnacentral:rRNA from 1 species
GACGAACGCUGGCGGCGUGCUUAACACAUGCAAGUCGAACGCUGAAGCCCUUUCGGGGGUGGAUGAGUGGCGAACGGGUGAGUAACACGUGGGUAAUCUGCCCUGUACUUCGGGAUAAGCCUUGGAAACGGGGUCUAAUACCGGAUAGGACCUGUCCUCGCAUGGGGGUGGGUGGAAAGUUCCGGCGGUAUGGGAUGAGCCCGCGGCCUAUCAGCUUGUUGGUGGGGUAGUGGCCUACCAAGGCGACGACGGGUAGCCGGCCUGAGAGGGUGACCGGUCACACUGGGACUGAGACACGGCCCAGACUCCUACGGGAGGCAGCAGUGGGGAAUCUUGCGCAAUGGGCGAAAGCCUGACGCAGCAACGCCGCGUGGGGGAUGACGGCCUUCGGGUUGUAAACCUCUUUCGACAUCGACGAAGGGGCCCUGUUGUGGGGUUUUGACGGUAGGUGUAGAAGAAGCACCGGCUAACUACGUGCCAGCCGCCGCGGUAAUAC